UACAGAGGGUGCAAGCGUUGUUCGGAAUUAUUGGGCGUAAAGGGCGCGUAGGCGGUGCGGUAAGUCUUUUGUGAAAUCUCCGGGCUCAACUCGGAGUCUGCAGGAGAAACUGCCGUGCUUGAGUAUGGGAGAGGUGAGUGGAAUUCCCGGUGUAGCGGUGAAAUGCGUAGAUAUCCGGAGGAACACCGGUGGCGAAGGCGGCUUCCUGGACCGACACUGACGCUGGGGCGCGAAAGCCAGGGGAGCAAACGGG
rnacentral:rRNA from 1 species